UACGUAGGCAGCGAGCGUUGUUCGGAGUUACUGGGCGUAAAGGGUGCGUAGGCGGUUGUUUUAAGUUUGGUGUGAAAUCUCCCCGGCUCAACUGGGAAGGUGCGCCGAAUACUGAAUGACUAGAGUGCGGGGAGAGGAGAGUGGAAUUCCUGGGUGUAGCGGUGAAAUGCGUAGAUAUCUGGAGGAACACCGGGUGGCGAAGGCGGCAUCCUGGACCGGCAUUGACGCUGAGGC
rnacentral:rRNA from 1 species